GGAAAACUCACCAUAGCCGACGGACAAAUGAAGGUCAGUGUAACGAACUUACCGGAUUGUUCGAGAGGUAGUGCAUGGCCGCCGUCAGUUCGUACCGCAAGGCGUUCUGUUAAGUCAGAUAACGAACGAGACCCUCAUCUCUAUUUGCUAGCUGGAUCUCCGGAUCCAGUGCACUAUAGAGAGACCGCUGGCGCUAAGUCAGAGGAAGGGGAGGGCAACGGUAGGUCAGUAUGCUCCGAAUGCUAUGGGCUACACGCGCAAUACAAAGGACGGGACAAUGGGCUGCUGCUCCGAAAGGAACGAUAGCUAUCCCGAAACCCGUUCGUAGUUCGGAUUGAGGGCUGUAACUCGCCCUCAUGAAGCUGGAUUAGGUAGUAAUCGCGUCUCAAAAAGGCGCGGUGAAUAUGCCCCUGCUCCUUGCACACACCGCCCGUCAAACCAUCUUAGUUGUGGGUGGGUGAGGCUACCUCUCAAUGGGGUAUUCGAGCCUGCCUUCGACGAGGAGGGUUAAGUCGUAACAAGGUAUCUGUAGGGGAACCUGCAGAUG
rnacentral:rRNA from 1 species